rnacentral:rRNA from 1 species
AACUACGUGCCAGCAGCCGCGGUAAUACGUAGGUGGCAAGCGUUGUCCGGAAUUAUUGGGCGUAAAGCGCGCGCAGGCGGUUUCUUAAGUCUGAUGUGAAAGCCCCCGGCUCAACCGGGGAGGGUCAUUGGAAACUGGGGAACUUGAGUGCAGAAGAGGAGAGUGGAAUUCCACGUGUAGCGGUGAAAUGCGUAGAGAUGUGGAGGAACACCAGUGGCGAAGGCGACUCUCUGGUCUGUAACUGACGCUGAGGCGCGAAAGCGUGGGGAGCGAACAGGAUUAGAUACCCUGGUAGUCCACGCCGUAAACGAUGAGUGCUAAGUGUUAGAGGGUUUCCGCCCUUUAGUGCUGCAGCAAACGCAUUAAGCACUCCGCCUGGGGAGUACGGUCGCAAGACUGAAACUCAAAGGAAUUGACGGGGGCCCGCACAAGCGGUGGAGCAUGUGGUUUAAUUCGAAGCAACGCGAAGAACCUUACCAGGUCUUGACAUCCUCUGACACCCUAAGAUAGGGCUUCCCCUUCGGGGGCAGAGUGACAGGUGGUGCAUGGUUGUCGUCAGCUCGUGUCGUGAGAU